CAGCACCUCAAGUGGUCAGGAUGAUUAUUGGGCCUAAAGCAUCCGUAGCCGGCGCUGUAAGUUUUCGGUUAAAUCUGUACGCUCAACGUACAGGCUGCCGGGAAUACUGCAGCGCUAGGGAGUGGGAGAGGUAGACGGUACUCGGUAGGAAGGGGUAGAAUCCUUUGAUCUAUUGAUGACCACCUGUGGCGAAGGCGGUCUACCAGAACACGUCCGACGGUGAGGGAUGAAAGCUGGGGGAGCAAACCGGAUUAGAGACCCGAGUAGUCC
rnacentral:rRNA from 1 species